AUGAACGCUAGCUACAGGCUUAACACAUGCAAGUCGAGGGGCAGCAUGACCUAGCAAUAGGUUGAUGGCGACCGGCGCACGGGUGAGUAACACGUAUCCAACCUACCGGUUAUUCUGGGAUAGCCUUUCGAAAGAAAGAUUAAUACCGGAUAGUAUAACGAGAAGGCAUCUUUUUGUUAUUAAAGAAUUUCGAUAAUCGAUGGGGAUGCGUUCCAUUAGUUUGUUGGCGGGGUAACGGCCCACCAAGACAUCGAUGGAUAGGGGUUCUGAGAGGAAGGUCCCCCACAUUGGAACUGAGACACGGUCCAAACUCCUACGGGAGGCAGCAGUGAGGAAUAUUGGUCAAUGGACGAGAGUCUGAACCAGCCAAGUAGCGUGAAGGAUGACUGCCCUAUGGGUUGUAAACUUCUUUUAUAUGGGAAUAAAGUGAGCCACGUGUGGCUUUUUGUAUGUACCAUACGAAUAAGGAUCGGCUAACUCCGUGCCAGCAGCCGCGGUAAUACGGAGGAUCCGAGCGUUAUCCGGAUUUAUUGGGUUUAAAGGGAGCGUAGGCGGACUAUUAAGUCAGCUGUGAAAGUUUGCGGCUCAACCGUAAAAUUGCAGUUGAUACUGGUCGUCUUGAGUGCAGUAGAGGUAGGCGGAAUUCGUGGUGUAGCGGUGAAAUGCUUAGAUAUCACGAAGAACUCCGAUUGCGAAGGCAGCUUACUGGACUGUAACUGACGCUGAUGCUCGAAAGUGUGGGUAUCAAACAGGAUUAGAUACCCUGGUAGUCCACACAGUAAACGAUGAAUACUCGCUGUUUGCGAUAUACAGCAAGCGGCCAAGCGAAAGCAUUAAGUAUUCCACCUGGGGAGUACGCCGGCAACGGUGAAACUCAAAGGAAUUGACGGGGGCCCGCACAAGCGGUGGAGCAUGUGGUUUAAUUCGAAGCAACGCGAAGAACCUUACCAGGUCUUGACAUCGAUCUAAAAGGGAUGGAGACAUCCUCAUAGCUAUAGAGGAGACAGGUGGUGCAUGGUUGUCGUCAGCUCGUGCCGUGAGGUGUCGGCUUAAGUGCCAUAACGAGCGCAACCCUUAUCUUUAGUUACUAACAGGUCAUGCUGAGGACUCUAGAGAGACUGCCGUCGUAAGAUGUGAGGAAGGUGGGGAUGACGUCAAAUCAGCACGGCCCUUACGUCCGGGGCUACACACGUGUUACAAUGGGGGGUACAGAAGGCAGCUACACAGCGAUGUGAUGCUAAUCCCAAAAGCCUCUCUCAGUUCGGAUUGGAGUCUGCAACCCGACUCCAUGAAGCUGGAUUCGCUAGUAAUCGCGCAUCAGCCACGGCGCGGUGAAUACGUUCCCGGGCCUUGUACACACCGCCCGUCAAGCCAUGAAAGCCGGGGGUACCUGAAGUCCGUAACCGCAAGGAGCGGCCUAGGGUAAAACUGGUAAUUGGGGCU
rnacentral:rRNA from 1 species